rnacentral:tRNA from 1 species
ACCCAGGUGGCUCAGUCGGUUGAGCGUCCGACUUCAGCUCAGGUCACGAUCUCGCAAUUUGUGAGUUCCAGUCCCACACUGGGCU